rnacentral:SRP_RNA from 1 species
CGUGUCGGUCUUCGUGGCGUGAAAUUAUGAACCCCGUCAGGCCUGGAAGGGAGCAGCGGUAAUAAUGGAUACGGGUGCGGUGAUUCGAUGCGGGC